rnacentral:lncRNA from 1 species
GAUAGCACUAUUUGGAUGACAGAGGCGUGAAGCUUGAUGUCCGAGACUCGCUUGGACUGGGCCUACUGGUGUGGGGAGCUCGAGAGGGCAACAGUCAAGUCGGCUACACCUGGACUGGAGUGACGGUUCAACGCUGCGGUGGAUGAACUGAGGAUUGACAAGUCUCCGGCCUGGAUCGACUGGUGAAACAGCUCAUGGUGUGUGGAAAGCCUUGUUGCUACUUCGAAGGAAGGUUUGGGGAAUCCAGUUUCCUGUAGUGACAACUUGGCUAGCCAACAUCUCCAGUAAUUAUGGGAGGUUUUGUACUUUUUGGUCACAGUUUCGUAAAGAGAAUGAGGAACAGGCAUGGUUUUGCAUAUGAGGUAGAACUGCAGAGAAGCAAAAUCCCUAUCGCAUGUAUUGGCGAAGGUGGGUUGACUUUCGACCGGGUCCUGUGUAACCAAGGCCGUUAUUUCCGACAGUUACAGAAAUUGCAACCCACAGUAUUAAUUAUUGAUUUGGGAACAAACGACCUGUGUUCGGUUGAGCGAACCCCUAGCCAGGUUCACACCUCACUUUGUAAUAUGGUGUCUGCUCUUCAUAAGUGGGACGUAUACCCCGAUACUUUGGUGUUUUUACCAGUUUUGCCACGAACCGGGGGGUUGAGAAGCUACCAAGUGUCAUUGCAGACAUUUAAUAGGAGAGUCAAAGAUUUCAAUGAGCUGUUGGAAAAGUCCACGUUCCUUGAAGAUCGAUGGUGGGUUUGGCGCCAUCGGGGUCUCAAGAACCCGCGUUUUAGUUUAGAUGGGGUGCAUCUUAAUUCGGAAGGAAUGCUACAGUAUGAGAGGACACUACGAAAGUUACUUAAGUUUUUCGACUCUCGUAUCUGGUUUUAGCUUCAAGGACACGAUUAUUAAGCUACAUUUGUAACUGAUUAGAGUAUUCAUACAUGUAAAUUCAAAAGAGGAGUUGUAUCAUGUAACAGAGUAUAAUGUGUAUAGAGUUUAUCGAGAUUUUGGGCCAAUCAUUGUAACUUUUAAAUAACUGUUAUUUGAGGAUAUAGAAGACAGCCUGAAUGGAUACAUAGCAGUACACGUAUUCAUUUUUAUCAAUUGUUAUUCAAGCUUGUUGUAUUUCCAGUUUUUCCUUGUUUAUAAUAAGUAUGUGUAGUAAGGCAAAUAAUGUAUGCUGUAAAGAAACGACAUUUUGAUUUUGUUUGAUCCUGUGAAAGCAUUACUUUUAACCUUGAUCUCCAGGAGUUGAUCACCCAAGUAGGGGAGUUUGUAGCGAAAUAAUCUUUUGUCAGGCCAUGCAUGUUGUUAUUAUUGCGAUCAAGAGAGGGCGCCAGACAAGACCUAUAAAAAGUAUCCGUAUCUGGGCAGACCCACCAAGAUCGCCAGGGUCAUACGCUAGACAAUAAAUGGUUACAAUGUAUACAUUUGGAGGCGCGGGAAAAGAGUACGCGCAACAGGAAAAAUGAGUGGCAGAAUGAUAUGUGGAAACAUGAGGGAAGUUUCGGCAUGAUUUUCGGUGGACAGAAGCAAAAUAAAUCAGCUCGACAAGUAAAUCACA